UCUUUUCAGUGUGUUAAGAUUUGGUUUAUAAUCUGGGAUCACGUAAAGCCUGAAGAACUUCUUUCAGUAGGCUCUUCUUUUGUAAGAUGAAGUUUUUGAGGUGCUUCAGUUGAGUUCAGUCACUCAGUCAUGUCCAACUCUUUGCGACCCCAUGGACUGCAGAACUCCAGGCUUCCCUGUCCAUUGAGGUGGAGGUCUACGAUAUUCCCAACCUCUUGCAAGUAGCUGGUACACAGCUGUUGCUCUAGAAAUGUUUUGCUCUAUGACUACUCAAGAGCUUCCCAGAUCUUUCAGGAAAAAAGACACCUCAGAAGAAAGCAGCUAUUGAAACCAAGGCUUUAAGACAUAAAGGUCAAGGAGCCGCAUGGUGGAUGGGGUUAGCUGAAGCAAAGUUCUAUCAGUAAGAAGAAGAAAUGAUGAACAGGAUGGGGUAGAUGAUCAACAGUGCCUAGCAAAAUCUGAAGCUAACUGGCCCCUAUCCUUUUAUGAAAUGAUCUCCAUUGCCUCUCAGUAGCACCUGCAUUUAUGUAAUAAUAUCUUCAGUCUUCUUUUAAAAGUUUAAAGAACUUUGUAAAAGAUUUUUAAAAUACGUUCUUUUUUUUUUUUUCAUGUAUCAGAUAAGAUUAAAGAAAAAAAAAAAAAAGAAUACUUAGUUCCAGCUAGGAUAUGAAGAGAGGAAAAGAAAGCAACACUCUUAUAUAGAGCUUCUGGGAAUGCAAAUUAACACAAACCUUUCUGGAAGUAAACUUGGCAACAUGUAUCAGACAUUUAAAAUGUGCAUGCUUUUUGGUUUGAAAUAAAGAUUUCCCUUGCAGAUAUUUAUUGUAAGUGGAUAAUCAUGCAUGUGGGCAAAGGAGAUGUAAGGAUGGUCAUUGUAGUAUUUAAUGCUAAAGAAUUAGAAGCUAAUAAUCAGGGUGAGUUAAAGACAUUUUGAUACACAUUUAAAUUGUGAUUUUAUGCAACAUUUAACAAGAUGAUGUAGACACUGCAAUUAUUUGCCAUUUGUUGAGCAUUUGCUAUGUGAUUUGCAUGUAUUAUUUCAGUUAAUAAUUUAAUGAGCUUUGUGAGUAGGUAAUGUAAUCACUCCCAUUUUAGAAAUGAAGAUAAAGGAUUAGAGAUACUCAUUUCACCAGAGAUAGUUAAGACAAAAACAAGAUUUGAGUAAAGAAAUGUCUCUUAAAAACUAUGUAUUAAAAUGAAAUGGAAAGUUUCAUUGAAGUAUAAUUUAUACACAACAUACCACAUGUAUUAAAGUUAUAUAAUUUUGUAAGUUGACAUAUAUAAAAAAUCACCACAAUCAUGAGAGUGACAUACCCAUCACCCACCAAGGUUGUGUCCUUUUUGAAUCCUUCUUUCUUACUGCUGCCCUCCGUCAUAUCUGUACUGAAUUUCUUUUGUCACUUUGUCAAAAAUUAUGUGGCCAUAUGUGUGGGUCUAUUUCUGGAAACUAUAUUGUUUCAUUGAUCUAUUUUUCUAUUAUUUACACCAGCACCACACUUUCUUGAAUACUGCACCUUUAUAAUAAAAUUUGAAGCCAGGUAAUGGCAAUCUUUCUUCUUCAUUCCUCUUUUUCUAAGUUGCUCUGGUUCUUUAAACUUCCACAUAAAUUCUAGAAUCAGUUUGUUAAUUUCUACAGUAAAGCCCUCUGGUAUUUGGAAUGUGAUUGCACUGAGUCUAUAGAUCAGUGUGGGGAUAACUGACAUGUUAGCAGUGUUGAAUCAUCCCAUCCAUGAAUAUGAUAUGCCUCCCCAUUUAUUUUGGCCUUCUUUAAUAAACCCAGCAGAAUAGUUCGGUGUACAGGAUUUCACAUCUUUGUCAGAUUUCUCAUUAGAUAUUUUCAUAAUUUUGAUGUUCUGGUAAAUGGUAUUGUAUAUUUAGUUUCCAAUUAUUCUUCAGUGGCAUAUAGAAAUAUAACUGAUUUUCUCAUAUUCACAUUAUAUUCUGCAACCUUGCUCAACUAUCUUAUUAGUUCUGGUAUCUUUUUGGUGAUUCCAUUGGAUUUUCUACAUAGAUAAUCAUGUCAUCUGUGAAUAAAGACAGUUUUGUUUCUUUUCCAAAGUAAAUAUUAAUUAUUUCUUUUUAUUGACUUUUUCCACUGGAUAGACUUGCCAGUACAAUGUUGACCAGAAGUGAAGAAAGUAGAAAUCCUUGUCUUAAUGUCAAGAGGGCAAAAAUUCAGUCUUAUAAUUUAUACUACUAACUACCAGUUUUUCAUGGAUGCCCUUUAUCAGGUUGAGGAAGUUGCCUUCUGUUGUUAGUUUUCUAUGUGUUUUUAUCAUGAAAAAUUGUUGGAUUUGGCCAAAUACAUUUUCUGUGUUUGCUGAAUAUGGUUGAACAUAAAAUUAUGUUUUUAAAAUUU